rnacentral:rRNA from 1 species
UACAGAGGGGGCAAGCGUUGUUCGGAAUUACUGGGCGUAAAGGGCGCGUAGGCGGCCUGCUAAGUCGAACGUGAAAUCCCCGAGCUCAACUCGGGAACUGCGUCCGAUACUGGCAGGCUUGAAUCCGGGAGAGGGAUGUGGAAUUCCAGGUGUAGCGGUGAAAUGCGUAGAUAUCUGGAGGAACACCGGUGGCGAAGGCGGCAUCCUGGACCGGUAUUGACGCUGAGGAGCGAAAGCCAGGGGAGCAAACGGG